AUUGAACGCUGGCGGCGUGCCUUACACAUGCAAGUCGAACGGCAGCACGGGAGCAAUCCUGGUGGCGAGUGGCGAACGGGUGAGUAGAGUAUCGGAACGUGCCCAGUCGUGGGGGAUAACGUAGCGAAAGUUACGCUAAUACCGCAUACGAUCUAUGGAUGAAGGCGGGGGAUCGCAAGACCUCGCGCGAUUGGAGCGGCCGAUAUCAGAUUAGGUAGUUGGUGGGGUAAAGGCUCACCAAGCCGACGAUCUGUAGCUGGUCUGAGAGGACGACCAGCCACACUGGGACUGAGACACGGCCCAGACUCCUACGGGAGGCAGCAGUGGGGAAUUUUGGACAAUGGGCGAAAGCCUGAUCCAACCAUGCCGCGUGCAGGAUGAAGGCCUUCGGGUUGUAAACUGCUUUUGUACGGAACGAAAAGGUUUGGCCUAAUAAGCUGAGCUCAUGACGGUACCGUAAGAAUAAGCACCGGCUAACUACGUGUCAGCCGCCGCGGUAA
rnacentral:rRNA from 1 species